CCCUUGUAGCUCAGUGGAUAGAGCAAUGGUUUCCUAAACCAUCGGCCGUGGGUUCGACCCCCACCAAGGGCA
rnacentral:tRNA from 1 species